GAUGAACGCUAGCGAUAGGCCUAACACACGCAAGUCGAGGGGCAGCACGGGAGCAAUCCUGGUGGCGACCGGCGCACGGGUGAGUAACACGUAUGCAACCUACCCAUAACUGUGGGAUAGCCCGUCGAAAGACGGAUUAAUACCGCAUAAAACAGGGGCUCCACAUGGAGAUAUUUGUUAAAGAUUUAUUGGUUAUGGAUGGGCAUGCGCAGGAUUAGGUAGUUGGUGAAGGUAACGGCUCACCAAGCCAUCGAUCCUUAGGGGAACUGAGAGGUUAAUCCCCCACACUGGUACUGAGACACGGACCAGACUCCUACGGGAGGCAGCAGUGAGGAAUAUUGGUCAAUGGACGAGAGUCUGAACCAGCCAAAUCGCGUGAAGGAAGACGGUAUUAUGUAUUGUAAACUUCUUUUAUCAGGGAAUAAAGUGCGGCACGUGUGCUGUUUUGUAUGUACCUGAUGAAUAAG
rnacentral:rRNA from 1 species